AUUGAACGCUGGCGGCAGGCCUAACACAUGCAAGUCGAACGAGUCGCGGACGGGUGAGUAAUGUCUGGGAAACUGCCUGAUGGAGGGGGAUAACUACUGGAAACGGUAGCUAAUACCGCAUACCAUCGGGUGUGCCCAGGUGGGAUUAGCUAUUAGGUGGGGUAACGGCGCACCUAGGCGACGAUCCCUAGCUGGUCUGCGAGGAUGACCAGCCACACGGGAACUGAGAUACGGUCCAACGGCCUACGCGAGGCAGAAGUGGGGAAUAUUGCACAAUGGGAGAAAGCCUGAUGCAGCCAUGCCGCGUGUAUGAAGAAGGCCUUAGGGUUGUAAAGUACUUUCCGCGUGGAGGCGUUACCCGCAGAAGAAGCACCGGCUAACUCCGUGCCAGCCGCCGCGGUAAUAC
rnacentral:rRNA from 1 species